UACGUAGGGUGCGAGCGUUGUCCGGAAUUAUUGGGCGUAAAGGGCUCGUAGGCGGCUUGUCACGUCGGGUGUGAAAGCCCGGGGCUUAACCCCGGGUCUGCAUUCGAUACGGGCUAGCUAGAGUGUGGUAGGGGAGAUCGGAAUUCCUGGUGUAGCGGUGAAAUGCGCAGAUAUCAGGAGGAACACCGGUGGCGAAGGCGGUUCUCUGGGCAUUACCUGACGCUGAGGAGCGAAAGUGUGGGGAGCGAACAGG
rnacentral:rRNA from 1 species